rnacentral:rRNA from 1 species
UGGGGAAUUUUGGACAAUGGGCGCAAGCCUGAUCCAGCCAUGCCGCGUGCGGGAAGAAGGCCUUCGGGUUGUAAACCGCUUUUGUCAGGGAAGAAAAGGCUCCGGAUAAUACCUGGGGCUCAUGACGGUACCUGAAGAAUAAGCACCGGCUAACUACGUGCCAGCAGCCGCGGUAAUACGUAGGGUGCAAGCGUUAAUCGGAAUUACUGGGCGUAAAGCGUGCGCAGGCGGUUAUGCAAGACAGAUGUGAAAUCCCCGGGCUCAACCUGGGAACUGCAUUUGUGACUGCAUAGCUGGAGUGCGGCAGAGGGGGAUGGAAUUCCGCGUGUAGCAGUGAAAUGCGUAGAUAUGCGGAGGAACACCAAUGGCGAAGGCAAUCCCCUGGACCUGUACUGACGCUCAUGCACGAAAGCGUGGGGAGCAAACA